AGCUCCAAUAGCGUAUAUUAAAGUUGUUGCAGUUAAAAAGCUCGUAGUUGGAUUUCGGGAGGGUUCGUCCGGUCCGCCGCAAGGUGUGCUACUGGUCGGUCCGUCCUUCCUGGCGCAGACCUCGUGUGCUCUUAGCUGAGUGUGCGUGGGAUUCGCCACGUUUACUUUGAAAAAAUUAGAGUGUUCAAAGCAGGCUGUUCGGCUUGAAUACAUAAGCAUGGAAUAAUGGAAUAGGACUCUGGUUCUAUUUUGUUGGUUUCUGGAUCCGGAGUAAUGAUUAAGAGGGACAGUUGGGGGCAUUCGUAUUUCGUUGUCAGAGGUGAAAUUCUUGGAUUUACGAAAGACGAACUACUGCGAAAGCAUUUGCCAAGAAUGUUUUCAU
rnacentral:rRNA from 1 species